rnacentral:tRNA from 1 species
CGCAAGGUAUCUUAAUUGGUUAAAGAGCGCGGUUCAUACCCGCGAAUAUGCUUGUUCGAUUCAAGCCCUUGCAA